rnacentral:lncRNA from 1 species
CAUGAGGAAAAGCCACAUGUGCACACAGAAAGUAACCAUUCCAGUUUUGCAAUCCAGCGUGUUACCCAUUCCCAGGAAGAGCUUCGGGAAGAAAAGGUUUACCAACUUGAGCGGUAUCGAGUAGAGGCAGGCAUGGAUCGAAAGUGUGACAGUGAUAUGUGGAUCAAUCAGAGCUCCUCAGUGGAAUCCAGCACAUCCAGCCAGGAACACCUGAACCAUUCUUCCAAGUCAGUUACCUCAGCUUCCACUCUGAC